rnacentral:rRNA from 1 species
AACGAACGCUAUCGGUAUGCUUAACACAUGCAAGUCGGACGGACUAAUUAGGGCUUGCUCCAAUUAGUUAGUGGCAGACGGGUGAGUAACACGUGGGAAUCUGCCCAUCAGUACGGAAUAACUUUUAGAAAUAAAAGCUAAUACCGUAUAUUCUCCACAGAGGAAAGAUUUAUCGCUGAUGGAUGAGCCCGCGUCAGAUUAGGUAGUUGGUGAGGUAACGGCUCACCAAGCCGACGAUCUGUAGCUGGUCUGAGAGGAUGAUCAGCCACACUGGGACUGAGACACGGCCCAGACUCCUACGGGAGGCAGCAGUGGGGAAUAUUGGACAAUGGGCGAAAGCCUGAUCCAGCAAUACCGAGUGAGUGAUAAAGGCCCUAGGGUUGUAAAGCUCUUUUAGCAAGGAAGAUAAUGACGUUACUUGCAGAAAAAGCCCCGGCUAACUCCGUG